rnacentral:tRNA from 1 species
GCCGAGGUGGCGGAAUUGGUAGACGCGCCAGGUUUAGGUCCUGGUGUCCUUGCGGCGUGGAGGUUCGAGUCCUCUCCUCGGUACCA